rnacentral:rRNA from 1 species
GACGAACGCUGGCGGCGUGCUUAACACAUGCAAGUCGAACGCUGAAGCUCAGCUUUUGUUGGGUGGAUGAGUGGCGAACGGGUGAGUAACACGUGAGUAACCUGCCCCCUUCUUUGGGAUAACGCCCGGAAACGGGUGCUAAUACUGGAUAUUCACUGGUCUUCGCAUGGGGGUUGGUGGAAAGGGUUUUUCUGGUGGGGGAUGGGCUCGCGGCCUAUCAGCUUGUUGGUGGGGUGAUGGCCUACCAAGGCUUUGACGGGUAGCCGGCCUGAGAGGGUGACCGGUCACAUUGGGACUGAGAUACGGCCCAGACUCCUACGGGAGGCAGCAGUGGGGAAUAUUGCCCAAUGGGCGCAAGCCUGAUGCAGCGACGCCGCGUGAGGGAUGGGGGCCUUCGGGUUGUGAACCUCUUUCGCUCAUGGUCAAGCCGCAACAAUGGUUGUGGUGAGGGUAGUGGGUAAAGAAGCGCCGGCUAACUACGUG